AACACAUGCAAGUCGAGGGGCAGCGAGAUUGAAGCUUGCUUCAAUUGUCGGCGACCGGCGCACGGGUGAGUAACACGUAUCCAACCUACCGUUUACUCUCGGAUAGCCUUCCGAAAGGAAGAUUAAUACGGGAUGGCAUUGAGGUUUCACAUGAUAACUCAAUUAAAGAAUUUCGGUAAACGAUGGGGAUGCGUUCCAUUAGAUAGUAGGCGGGGUAACGGCCCACCUAGUCGACGAUGGAUAGGGGUUCUGAGAGGAAGGUCCCCCACAUUGGAACUGAGACACGGUCCAAACUCCUACGGGAGGCAGCAGUGAGGAAUAUUGGUCAAUGGGCGAGAGCCUGAACCAGCCAAGUAGCGUGAAGGAUGAAGGUCCUAUGGAUUGUAAACUUCUUUUAUACAGGAAUAAAGUGCGGUAUGCAUACCGUUUUGUAUGUACUGUAUGAAUAAGCAUCGGCUAACUCCGUGCCAGCAGCCGCGGUAAUACGGAGGAUGCGAGCGUUAUCCGGAUUUAUUGGGUUUAAAGGGAGCGCAGACGGUUUGUUAAGUCAGUUGUGAAAGUUUGGGGCUCAACCUUAAAAUUGCAAUUGAUACUGGCAGACUUGAGUGCAGAUGAGGUAGGCGGAAUUCGUGGUGUAGCGGUGAAAUGCUUAGAUAU
rnacentral:rRNA from 1 species